rnacentral:rRNA from 1 species
AGCGAACGCUGGCGGCAGGCCUAAAACAUGCAAGUCGAACGGAUCCUUCGGGAUUAGUGGCGGACGGGUGAGUAACACGUGGGAACGUGCCUUUUGGUUCGGAACAACUCAGGGAAACUUGAGCUAAUACCGGAUGUGCCCUUCGGGGGAAAGAUUUAUCGCCAUUAGAGCGGCCCGCGUCUGAUUAGCUUGUUGGUGGGGUAAUGGCCCACCAAGGCGACGAUCAGUAGCUGGUCUGAGAGGAUGAUCAGCCACACUGGGACUGAGACACGGCCCAGACUCCUACGGGAGGCAGCAGUUAGGAAUCUUGCGCAAUGGGGGAAACCCUGACGCAGCCAUGCCGCGUGAAUGAUGAAGGUCUUAGGAUUGUAAAAUUCUUUCAGCGGGGACGAUAAUGACGGUACCCGCAGAAGAAGCCCCGGCUAACUUCGUGCCAGCAGCCGCGGUAAU